UACGUAGGGUGCGAGCGUUGCCCGGAUUUAUUGGGCGUAAAGGGCGCGUAGGCGGCUCGGCACGUCCGUUGUGAAAUCGCCCGGCUCAACUGGGCGGGGUCAGCGGAUACGGUCGAGCUUGAGCAAGCUAGGGGGCAAUGGAAUUCCCGGUGUAGCGGUGAAAUGCGCAGAUAUCGGGAGGAACACCGGUGGCGAAGGCGGUUCUCUGGGCCUUACCUGACGCUGAGGAGCGAAAGCGUGGGGAGCGAACAGG
rnacentral:rRNA from 1 species